GAUGAACGCUGGCGGCGUGCCUAAUACAUGCAAGUCGAGCGAACGGACGAGAAGCUUGCUUCUCUGAUGUUAGCGGCGGACGGGUGAGUAACACGUGGAUAACCUACCUAUAAGACUGGGAUAACUUCGGGAAACCGGAGCUAAUACCGGAUAAUAUUUUGAACCGCAUGGUUCAAAAGUGAAAGACGGUCUUGCUGUCACUUAUAGAUGGAUCCGCGCUGCAUUAGCGAGUUGGUAAGGUAACGGCUUACCAAGGCAACGAUGCAUAGCCGACCUGAGAGGGUGAUCGGCCACACUGGAAGUGAGACACGGUCCAGACUACUACGGGAGGCAGCAGUAGGGAAUCUUCCGCAAAGGGCGGAAACCUGACGGAGCAACGCCGCGUGAGUGAUGAAGAUCUUCGGAUCGUAAAACUCUGUUAUUAGGGAAGAACAUAUGUGUAAGUAACUGUGCACAUCUUGACGGUACCUAGUCAGAAAGCCACGGCUAACUACGUG
rnacentral:rRNA from 1 species